rnacentral:lncRNA from 1 species
CCUUCCAACAAUUUAAACUUUUGACUUGCAAGCCUAUAAAAAAUGAUAUCAGAGCCUAUGAAAAAGCUUUUGCACCAUAGAGAAAUUUACAUGCCAAAAUAGCCACCAUAUCACCCAUCUUAGGAGACGAUUCGUUAACUUUUCUCUAUUACCUAGCAUUAUUCAUAGCUAUUGUGUUACCAAAAUAAUGUUUAUUUAAAAUCAAAUUAUCAAAGUAAUACACUUUCCAAACUAUUUACGAAAAUACC